CUCUGUGCUACAACAAAAUCGUGAAGGCGAAGGAGAAGAAGAGAAGAAGAGAGAGGGAGGAAGAAACGGCGCCGUGUUGAGGUUGGUAAUUUCCGUGUCUCUGUGUCUCUUCGCUUCUCUUUUCUUCUGUUGCUGUCUGAAGAAUCUGUGUUUUGUGUUCUGAGUGGAGAUAAGACUUUAAGAAGAGUGAAAGAUGGUGAUGGAUUCAUCAAAAUGGUGGUGGAUUGGAAACCACAACACGACUAAUUUCUCUCCAUGGCUUCACACUACUCUCUCUGAGUUGGAUGAGAAGACAAAGGAUAUGCUGAGAGUGAUCGAUGAGGAUGCGGACUCUUUCGCCGCACGAGCUGAGAUGUAUUACAAGAAAAGACCCGAGCUUGUUGCUAUGGUCCAAGACUUCUACCGCUCGCAUCGCUCCUUAGCCGAGAGGUACGACUUGCUGAGACCUUCCUCUGUGCACAACAAACACGGCUCAGAGAAGAGUAAUCAUGAGAAGUCAUCAACUUGGGAUGAGUCUUCUUGGUCCGAGGCUUGUGAGACUCAUGACGAGUACUACGCUGAGUCCGAAGUCGAUGACGGUGAAGACAAAUGGGUCGAUGAAGGUGAAGCUAGUGGAGAUUAUGGGAUGAUGAAGGAAGAGAUAGAGAGGCUGAGGGAAGAGAAUAAGGUUUACAGUGAGAUGGUGAGAGAGAAAGAUGAGGAGAAGAGAGGAGCUAUAAGGCAGAUGAGUUUAGCCAUAGACAUGCUCAAAAAAGAGAACUCAGAGCUCAAGAAAUGUUUUUCUUCCGUUGUUGCAAAGCAUAGAAAGGAACAGAUGUGGAAGCCAUUUGAGUUUAAGAAGCUUGAAGGGUUGUUUGGGAGAGUAGUGGGCAACUGGGUCGUCCCAAAGACAGAGUCUACCGCUUCCAGAGAGCUCAUGACUCUUUAAAAAAAAGAAACAGAGAGACUCGGGCAAAGACAGAGACGAGCUGUUCCACAUAUAGCUACCUUCCACAGGAGAAGUGAGCUAUUUCCUUUAGAUGUUGAUGAUUCUCCUUAUCGUGAGAUGGAUUGUCAGUGGAACUACUGAAGUCGAACCAACUCCAUAAAAUACAAAGAUGAACCAAGGAGAGGAAUAAACUGCAGAAAGAAACUUCAGGACCACUGUGUCUUCUUUGUAUUUGUUUUUGAGAACAAUAAUGUUAAUUUUGAGGAGGUAGACUAUAUGCAGUUUUGGUAUUCAUUUUGUAUGCAACUCCCAAUCAUUACCGUGGAAAAUAAUCAAACUUGAGCUUUUUCUUUAA